rnacentral:rRNA from 1 species
GUAUUGUAAUUUCAUGAUGCAGCCUUAAUGGAACUGCAUGAACAGAUAUUCUUGAAACGGCAUGUCAAAGAUGGUGAAAGCCCAAUGGCUUCAUGUGCUUUCUGUGCACGGUCUGCAUUUGGUGAUUCACAUUCCUUGGCAAUGGAAUGCAAACAGGUGGUAAAUUCCAUCCAAUAUAACAAUACAACAUUGAGGCUGAUAACAAACAAGUACCAUGAGGGAAAUAUGAAAAGGACUUUGGAAAGAGAAUUAAAAGAGUUUGCAUUUGCUUGGCAUAAAACAAAUUAAUGUUGUCAUGGCCAAAAGAUUGUUGCAUUUCUGGGUGUGUGCCAACAUUGCUCAGCAAGUGUAAUGCUUCUUUCCCCCCACAAAGCUGUUGCAUUCAUGGAUCAUUCUUGUUUGGUGCUGGCAAUAUGUGUUGCAUAGUGGUGCUCUGUUUGCAUUUCUGAUUUCUGAUGUU